CGGUAAUACGGAGGGUGCAAGCGUUAAUCGGAAUUACUGGGCGUAAAGCGUGCGUAGGUGGUUUGUUAAGUUAGAUGUGAAAGCCCUGGGCUCAACCUAGGAACUGCAUUUAAAACUGGCGAACUAGAGUAUAGGAGAGGAAAGUGGAAUUUCAGGUGUAGCGGUGAAAUGCGUAGAUAUCUGAAGGAACAUCAAUGGCGAAGGCAGCUUUCUGGACUAAUACUGACACUGAGGUACGAAAGCGUGGGUAGCAAACAGGAUUAGAUACCCUGGUAGUCCACGCCGUAAACGAUGACAACUAGCCGUUGGGAGGAUUUACCUCUUAGUGGCGAAGCUAACGCGUUAAGUUGUCUGCCUGGGGAGUACGGCCGCAAGGCUAAAACUCAAAGGAAUUGACGGGGACCCGCACAAGCGGUGGAGCAUGUGGUUUAAUUCGAUGCAACGCGAAGAACCUUACCUGGUCUUGACAUACACGGAACUUUCCAGAGAUGGAUUGGUGCCUUCGGGAACCGUGAUACAGGUGCUGCAUGGCUGUCGUCAGCUCGUGUCGUGAGAUGUUGGGUUAAGUCCCGUAACGAGCGCAACCCUUAUCCUUAUUUGCCAGCACAUCAUGGUGGGAACUAUAAGGAGACUGCCGGUGAUAAACCGGAGGAAGGCGGGGACGACGUCAAGUCAUCAUGGCCCUUACGACCAGGGCUACACACGUGCUACAAUGGGAAGGACAAAGGGUCGCAACCUCGCGAGAGCAAGCUAAUCUCAUAAACCUUUUCGUAGUCCGGAUCGGAGUCUGCAACUCGACUCCGUGAAGUCGGAAUCGCUAGUAAUCGUGGAUCAGAAUGCCACGGUGAAUACGUUCCCGGG
rnacentral:rRNA from 1 species